CCUGGCGGCUAUAGAGACGUGGCCCCACCUGAUCCCAUACCGAACUCAGACGUGAAACACGCCCUCGCCUAUCCUAGUCUGGCCCCAAAGCCAGGCCAACCUCGGUCACCGCCAGGG
rnacentral:rRNA from 1 species